UUUGUUUUUAAAAGACCUUCUUACGAAGGUAUGCUUAAAGAGGGGCUUGCGCCACAUUAGUUAGUUGGUAGAGUAAAAGCCUACCAAGACGAUGAUGUGUAGCUGGACUGAGAGGUUGAACAGCCACAUUGGGACUGAGACACGGCCCAAACUCCUACGGGAGGCAGCAGUAGGGAAUUUUCGGCAAUGGAGGAAACUCUGACCGAGCAACGCCGCGUGAACGAUGAAGUAUUUCGGUAUGUAAAGUUCUUUUAUUGAAGAAGAAAAAGUAGUGGAAAAACUAUAUUGACGUUAUUCAAUGAAUAAGCCCCGGCUAACUAUGUGCCAGCAGCCGCGGUAAGACAUAGGGGGCGAGCGUUAUCCGGAAUUAUUGGGCGUAAAGGGUGCGUAGGCUGUUAGAUAAGUCUAUAAUUUAAUUUCAGUGCUUAACGCUGUCUUUGUUAUAGAAACUGUCUUGACUAGAGUGAGAUAGAGGCAAAGCGGAAUUCCCAUGUGUAGCGGUAAAAUGUGUAAAAUAUAUGGAGGAACACCAGAAAGCGUAGGCGGCUUGCUGGGUCUUUUACUGACGCUGAGGCACGAAAGCGUGGGUAGCAAACAGGAUUAGAUACCCUGGUAGUCCACGCCGUAAACGAUGAGUACUAAGUGUCGGGGUAAAACUCGGUACUGAAGUUAACACAUUAAGUACUCCGCCUGAGUAGUACGUACGCAAGUAUGAAACUUAAAGGAAUUGACGGGACUCCGCACAAGCGGUGGAUCAUGUUGUUUAAUUCGAAGAUACACGAAAAAUCUUACCAGGUCUUGACAUACUCUGCAAAGCUAUAGAAAUAUAGUGGAGGUUAUCAGGGAUACAGGUGGUGCAUGGUUGUCGUCAGUUCGUGUCGUGAGAUGUUAGGUUAAGUCCUAAAACGAACGCAACCCUUGUCGUUAAUUGCCAGCACAUAAUGGUGGGGACUUUAACGAGACUGCCAAUUAAACAUUGGAGGAAGGUGAGGAUUACGUCAAAUCAUCAUGCCCCUUAUGAUCUGGGCUACAAACGUGAUACAAUGGCUGUGACAAAGAGUAGCUGAAACGCGAGUUUUUAGCCAAUCUCAAAAAAGCAGUCUCAGUUCGGAUUGAAGUCUGUAACUCGACUUCAUGAAGUUGGAAUCGCUAGUAAUCGCGAAUCAGC
rnacentral:rRNA from 1 species